AUUGGCUUUGCAUUGAUCAUCUUCUUGUAGCUAAAUCAGCAGUUAUGAGUGUUUCUCAGCAGUCACUCAAAUCAACGAACCUGACAGCUUGUAUGGGAUCAUCCAGUCACACAAGGAGCUUGUGUUGUCUGUUUUCCGUGCAAGUGAAGAGAGCACCGAAUACACCUACUCAACAAUAAUCAAACUCCAG